ACUCUAAGGAGACUGCCGGUGACAACCGGAGGAAGGUGGGGAUGACGUCAAGUCAUCAUGGCCCUUACGGCCUGGGCUACACACGUGCUACAAUGGUCGGUACAAAGGGUUGCCAAGCCGCGAGGUGGAGCUAAUCCCAUAAAACCGAUCGUAGUCCGGAUCGCAGUCUGCAACUCGACUGCGUGAAGUCGGAAUCGCUAGUAAUCGUGAAUCAGAAUGUCCACGGUCGAAUACGUUCCCGGGCCUU
rnacentral:rRNA from 1 species